CAAGCAAAAUGAUCAGUUUUUAUAGUACCCCCACCACACUCGAAUCACACAGUCUCUUGUGUGACUUUGAAUUUGGAGUGGUUUACAUGAUAAGUAAAAUAAAAAUUACUAGAGAUGUGGAGAGAUUUUAAACCGGAUUAGAGUACUUACCUUGUGACUGUAGCGACUUGAGCAUGUCACUAUGGAUAUGUCGCUAUGAGCAUGUCUCCACAGCACUUGUGUUUCUUUCCUAGCCUCUUUUGAAUCCUUUCCUUUUCCUGAGCACCUUCCAAACUGAAAUGACACACAAUUCACACAAACAAACACACAAACAAGGAUAGUUCACACAAUUUAUUAAAAACAUUCACACAUAUAUACAAAGGAUACUCUUGAGAUUUCCUCCCAAGUGAGCUUGUUUUAAGUCUCUAGCUUGACUUUGUGUGCUUGCUAAUCAUAAGUAUCAAAAGGUUGAGCCAAUGCACCUUUGGUCCCUCUCCUCCAAGAACAAGGAACCAAGUAUGCAAAGGAGCACACUACUGUCCAUAGAAAAUAGACAGAUUUUUCCUCAAAGAGCUUCACUAAAGAUAUGACAUGAGUUAUGAAAUGCUCCUUGAGGUUCAGAUGAUCAUGAGAAUCAAAAGCAUUAGGUGGAAACACAAAAUCAACUACAUGUUCAAAUGAGGUUUUAACAAAGUAGUCAACUCUAUCUCCAUCAAUCAUAUAAUACACAAUGUUCACAUUCUCAUGAUAGUUUUCAGCAUGGGGGUUUUCUAUCUCAAGCAAGAGCUUAUCCACAUCAAGUUCAUCCCCUAAAUCAGGAAGUUCAAGAAGAGGUCUAGGUUCAUCAAGAAUGAAAAACUCAGAUUCAAGAUCAAAUGAAGCACAUAGAUAGCUCUUGUCAAAACAAACUUCAAUAUGAUCUCUAACAAGUUUUUCUAUUCUCAACUCAUCUAGUUUCUUAGUUUCACAUAUCAGAUCAAGACAUUCAUUCAUGAGCACAAGAGAAUUAAGACCAGAGAUAUUAUUCUCACCACAAGGCAAGCAUAUUUCCUCGAGUUGAAGUUUUAAAGUGGAAAUUUCUAUACCUUCCAGUUGGAGUGGUGGAGCCCAAUACAUUACCUCAUUAAGGGCACAAGCAGCAUCUAACUCAUACUGGGUAACCUCCCUUUCUUCAAACUCUGCUCGGUCCCUAAUGAGGUGUAUCCGGAUAAGUUGUGCUAGGUUUCUCUUUGUCUUGUCCCGAUUCUCUUUCAUUCUCUGAAGCCGAUGCAACUCAUCCCUUUGGUCUGGUGUGAGUAUGCGUAUAUCAAAGGGUGGUGGCUUCACAUAUGGCUGAUCUUCAAUGCGAUCUUCAAAUGUCUCUUCCUCUUCUUGUGGCUUCUCAGAGUAGCUUGAAGCCAUCUCUAAAAAUAACAAAAGCUAGAAGAAGAGGUUAGUAGCUAUACAAAAGCAAAACAAAGCAUAAGAAAAUAAAGCUUAAUCUCAAGAAAGUUUGAAAUCUUAAUGACAAAUCUACUUAGUUCCCCGGCAACGGCGCCAAAUUGAUUACGCGUUUAAGCACACACCAAUUAACCUAAUGUGCCAACAAUACCACAAUCGAAUGGUAUGUCAUUGUAGCAUUUUAGGAUCGAAUCCACAGAGAACUAGAGACUUAUAACACCAAGAAUACACAAACCUUCCUAAUCUAAGCAAACAAGAAGAUAGAUGAUUUGUAACAAACUAAUAUCCUAGAAAUAUAAACAAGGUGAUCUCAAAUCCAAUCAAGAAAUAAGUGCAAGAAUUCAAUCAAAUACUAAGGAUGGAUCCAUGGUAAGGAUAAUUGAUAUAAGGUGAUCAAGGUUCAAUCUAAAGGUGGCAACUUUCAAUCAAAGUAAUCUCUUAAGUCUAAACACAAUUCUAGACAAGUCCUAUGUCUAGGUAAAUGCCCAUUUGCUUAGAAAUCAUUAAACAUCAAAUGUCUUUGGCUUAAUUCAAUCAAGCAAUCUUUAAGUUCAAGUUCAAUAACUAUCUAGCAAUUUUAACAUCAAGUGUCCUUGGCUAAUCUCACUAGAGCUUAGUUGAGUUGAUUCAAACACUUCAUCUAAUCAUGUCUGAUGAGAAGUGUUUAGAUAUCAGGUUUAGAGUGAUCAAGACUAAACAAGCAUUAAAAAUACUCAACAAGCAAGUUCAUACAAGGAUCUACAAUAAAACACCCUAAAUCUACACUUAAUCACCCUAAUCUACCUUAACCAUGAAUCCAAGGAGUGUCUACUCUCUAAUCUCCAUGAGAAACCUCAAACCCAUGAUGGAUUCAAGGCUCACCAUGUUUAUGAGAAGGAGAAACAAGAUAUAAUAUGAAGAACUUCCUUAGAUUAUGAUAUAAAGAUUCAAGCUUUUUUUUACAAAGGGAGGCAAGUUCUUGAGAGAAAAAUGAGAUUCUUUUAGGUUUUUAGGUUUAAAACUAUAUAUAAGAGAUGCCAAACUCGAGCUGGUUUAGUGAAUUAAACCGGGUCAAACCGGAAUAAACCGGUCAAUCAUUUUUGAGAUCGCGUUUUUGUCUUCUGCGAGCGACCUUUGCACCUCGCUGUGGCAAGUCGCUGUGAUGCUGUCUUUGAUGAUGGAUUUCCCGAGCGAGUUCAUCACGUCGCUUCAAUCACUCGCUCCAGCCAACGCUUCGUUCCAAGCUGCGUUCGAGAUACAGCGACCACAACACCUCGCUCCCUUGAACUCGCGUCCGAGCCCGCUGAGUUCCCGAGCUGUGUCCCAAUCUCUCUCCGUCGCGGCUCGUCUCACUUCACCGCGAACCACCACGAACUCCUUCUUCCUCGCCUUGAUCAAGCCGUGACUGCGCCACCGUCUCCUCCAAGCCGCGACCAAGCUUCCUCCGUCCAAGCCGUGCUCUCAGGUGCUCGAGUCUCAUCGUCGUCGAGCUUUGCCGUGGUUGGAAUCAGCUUCACCGUCGUUCGCGUUGAAACCAAACUCUCGAUCUCCUCCAAUGGGGACUUCUUCAUUAUUUUCAAGACAGGUCCCUGGCCUUUUGAUUCUUUACAAAACGGACCCAGCCUUUGGAAUGUGCAAAAAUGCCCUCGCGAAUCAAACCCAAAGUUUCCAAUGUGCGAUUUAGCCCAAGCGAAUAUUACGAAUUUGCAACCUUGGUCCCUGGGUUCUUGUUAACAUCACAGUGGACCCAAAACUUCCAAACUUUGCAGUAUAACCCUUGAAUUUCGCCCCAAACUUCCAAAUAAGCAUUCCAACCCCUAUGAUAUGCAAAUGAGUAUGCAAAUACAACACAAAGACCUAAAUGCAACCUAAAAUGAUCAUAAUAAGCUAAAAUAUGAAUCUAAAACUUAUAAAAAUCAUGAGAUAUCAACUCCCCCACACUAGUCCUUUACUUGUCCUCAAGUAAACUUUUCAAAAACAUGGGAAGUGAUGUUUCAAUACACAAAUGGAAAUUCAUGACCUUAAGAAACUCUUCAAUGCCAUCGUUGUGAUAUCCUUACAAAAUCAUACCAAAUAGCAAGAGCAAUUUUUUUUUUAUUAGCUCUAACUUCUCUCGGCCUAUCAAUUCCUUUGAUAUUUUAACUCAGUAUCAUGAAUCCUCAAAUCAACCAACUCUCACAUUCAAUAAGAAAUAUCAUAACUGAAUUCUCGCAAAUUGACAAUUGGUCCAAAUCAUUUGGUUUGGUGAGAAAAAAAAUGGCUUAAUGUGAAGAAUGAGAAGGGUCCAAAUACAUUUUGCUAUGGUGACUUACACUCAAGAAUAGGAGUUUGAUCAUUAUGCAAAAUUUAUCUAAGAAAAGGAGCAAUUAAUGCAUACAUAAAUCGGUUCUCAUCAUUGUACCCUUUUCCUAGACAAUUUUUAAGUUCUACCCUUUCUUUUCUUCAUCUCAAAUCCCAAAUGUACACCCAUUUUUAUCUCUUACCCAAUGAACACUCUUUUCUCUUUUUUUUUUCUUUUCUUUUUGGGGUUUUUAUUGACACAAUCUGAGCUAUAUAUAUAUAUAUUUAUUUAUUUUAGACACUUUUUUUUUUUUUUUUUUUUUUUUUUUUUUUUUUUUAAAACACACUUUUUUGAUUCAUUUCCUUUACAUAAUCUUUCCCAAUUCAAUCCUCAAGAUCAAAAUAAUUAAAGCACAUCAUUCCAACCACCAUCCUAGAUUCUAGCCCAAAAGAGGUCCUUAUGCUAGCAAGAGAUGAGAACAAAUCAAUGUCGCUCCUAAUACUCUCAAGAUUUUGCACAUGACAAGCUUUCACAAAAAGACCUCACUCAACAAUUAAUGAUGGUUUGAAAGAAGGGAAGGGUUUAGGGUAUGGACUACCACUUGAGUUGUCAAAAAGAUUGGUAAAAUGGUUUAUACAAGCUCAAGUGUGUGUAAAGCCAUGAUUUAGUACUCAAGAGACCAUAAGCAAGAAGCAUUAAGUUCAUUUUAGUCAAUUAAGAUCGGAGUUGGUUUCAAAGAGUAAGAUUCAAUGAGUCUUAAGAGGAGUUUUCAAGGCUCGAAGUCUACAAGAAAUUCAGAAGAAGCUCAAGCUACUUAUUAUGAUUCAAAAGGGUAUCAACAAUGAGUUCAUUGCAUGAGUCCUGCAUAGGGAUUUUACCUAUGCAUUAUAUAUGAUCUAGACUCAAACCUAAAGAUGCAAAUGUAUUUUUUUUUUUUAUGGAUUUUCUAUGCAAAUGGAUAUGCAAUGCUUAUGACAAGCAAACAAAACAGAAAACAUGUGAGAUAAGUAGACUCUCCCCCCCACACUUACUUCACACAGUCUCUUGUGUGAGAGCAAGGUGAAAGAAGAGGUCUAGAAGAAACAAACAAGAAGACUAUAUAUUUACAAUGGUUGUAGAGACACUUAGCUUGGAGUUGCUAGAAGGAGUUGAAUAAUUUUAUCACUUGUAGCUUUGCAGGAUGGCCAUCUUUCUCUUUGAUUAAGAGGAGAAUCACCUAAAAAUUUUAAACACAUUUAUUAAACACACAAAAGAAAAACCACACAAGUAAAACAAUAAUAUAUAUAGGGAUAGACAUGGGACUUCCUCCCAAGUGAGCUUGUUUUAAGUCUCUAGCUUGACUUUGUGUGCUUGCUAAUCAUAAGUAUCAAAAGGCUGAGCCAAUGCACCUUUGGUCUUUCUCCUACAAGAACAAGAAACCAAGUGUGCAAAGAAACACACUACUGUCCAUAGAAAAUAGACAGAUUUUUCCUCAAAGAGCUUCACUAAAGAUAUGAUAUGAGUUAUGAAAUGCUUCUUGAGGUUCAGAUGAUCAUGAGAAUCAAAAGCAAUAGGUGGAAACACAAAAUCAACUACAGGUUCAAACGAGGUUUUAACAAAGUAGUCAACUCUAUCUCCAUCAAUCAAAUAAUUCACAAUGUUCACAU
rnacentral:lncRNA from 1 species